rnacentral:rRNA from 1 species
AGUGAACGCUGGCGGUAGGCCUAACACAUGCAAGUCGAACGGCAGCACAGUAAGAGCUUGCUCUUACGGGUGGCGAGUGGCGGACGAGUGAGGAAUACAUCGGAAUCUACUUUUUCGUGGGGGAUAACGUAGGGAAACUUACGCUAAUACCGCAUACGACCUACGGGUGAAAGCAGGGGAUCUUCUGACCUUGCGCGAUUGAAUGAGCCGAUGUCGGAUUAGCUAGUUGGCGGGGUAAAGGCCCACCAAGGCGACGAUCCGUAGCUGGUCUGAGAGGAUGAUCAGCCACACUGGAACUGAGACACGGUCCAGACUCCUACGGGAGGCAGCAGUGGGGAAUAUUGGACAAAGGGCGCAAGCCUGAUCCAGCCAUACCGCGUGGGUGAAGAAGGCCUUCGGGUUGUAAAGCCCUUUUGUUGGGAAAGAAAAGCAGCAGGUUAAUACCCCGCUGUUCUGACGGUACCGAAAGAAUAAGCACCGGCUAACUUCGUG